rnacentral:misc_RNA from 1 species
UUAACUUAUUCGGUUGUUACUCAGACGCACGGAUGCAGAGUUUAGGUAAGGUCCACCGGGGGCCCCGACACCCAUAAACGGGCCGGGUCGCCCCCGAGGCAACAGAGUCGGACAUCAAAGGGUUGGAGGUCGAGCCAGAAGGCUCUCACUCGGUAAUGAUCCCUCCGCAGGUUCACCUACGGAGA